UACAGAGGGGGCAAGCGUUGUUCGGAUUUAUUGGGCGUAAAGGGUGCGUAGGCGGCGGAGUAAGUUGGGUGUGAAAUCCCGGGGCUUAACCUCGGAAUGGCAUUCAAUACUGCUUCGCUAGAGUACUGGAGAGGAGGCUGGAAUUUACGGUGUAGCAGUGAAAUGCGUAGAUAUCGUAAGGAAGGCCGGUGGCGAAAGCGAGCCUCUGGACAGUUACUGACGCUGAUGCACGAAGGCCAGGGGAGCAAACGGG
rnacentral:rRNA from 1 species